rnacentral:rRNA from 1 species
CAGCAUCCGCGUGUGUGAGAAGGCCUUCGGGUUGUAAAGCACUUUUGUCCGGAAAGAAAUGGUCUGCUAAUACCCGGGGUCGAUGACGGUACCGGAAGAAUAAGACCGGCUAACUACGUGCCAGCAGCCGCGGUAAUACGUAGGGUGCGAGCGUUAAUCGGAAUUACUGGGCGUAAAGCGUGCGCAGGCGGUUUGAUAAGACAGGCGUGAAAUCCCCGGGCUCAACCUGGGAAUGGCGCUUGUGACUGUCAGGCUAGAGUGCGUCAAGGGGGGUAGAAUUCCACGUGUAGCAGUGAAAUGCGUAGAGAUGUGGAGGAAUACCGAUG